UUUUUUUUUUUCCACUCCAUAUAGACAAAAAAAAAAAAAAAAAGGGAAACUGUAUUAAUCUUAUUCUAUCAAUAUUUUUUUCCUGUUUUUUUUUUGUUGUUGUUGUUUUUUUUUUUUUUCGUUGAAAAUAUCCCGAAGGUAUCGCGUUGUUUGUUUAUUAAUAAAUUACCGUUCAGUUGGAAUGACCCUGCCCACGUCUGCAUACUUUCUCGCUUUGCUUUUGGAGAGGGCGAGAGAGGGGGAAGAGAAGGGUUCCGUGGCUCCCGCGGGGCGACGGCACUGCGCGGCCCCUCCGCGCAAAUCCCGCGCACCGCCGGCUCCGAAAAUCCCACUUCUGUCCCUUCCGCUCUGCGUUCCCCUCGCUCGGCUCGCCCCGUACGUCGGGAACGAACCCCUGCGGGGGCAGCUCGGGGCUGGCGAGCAAACAAACGCGUUUUCUCCGCAGUGAAUGGCUGAAAGCGGCGGUGCGGCCCCGGCCCGGUCCCUGCGCUGCUGUCGGUGCACGCACACGGGCCGACCCCUACGCGUUGCCCAUGUGUUUGUAAGCGGGAUUUGCGCGUGGAUCUCUAUUUAAAGAAGGGUCGCGUAUUUCUUGCUAGAAGCGCACCGCGUGUGUUUCUAAACCCCGCGGUGGAUCUUAGAUGGCAGAUAGUCUCUACCGUGUGCUUUCUUAAGUGUGCCGUGGGCGCAGAAAUCGCUGCUUUGCGCACUUGGCACCGGGGCCGCUCCCGUAGCGCAGCUCUUCAUCUCCGAAGGGAACGAAACGUUGGGUCGCACCGCCGUGCCUCUGCCCCUCUCCUGUCCUUUGGGGACCUCCCCGCUCCGCUGGGACGGCCCCACUGCUCCGGUGCGGAUCCGAUUAGGAAAAGUUGGAGGGGAGAAUUUUUCCUAUGUAGUUUUUAACUUUUUUUCCCCCCCCCGUCUCUCCCCUCCCUCUUUAUUCUUUAAACCUGACAAAAUAUAACGUAUUUCCACGGCCACGAUGGACGAAUGGAUCGCAGUGUGACAUUCUGUCCGAGCGGGAAUGUCACCUUCUGCUCAAUUUGCAAUUACGGACCUACGGGCAUUGGGGAUCGCCUCCCCCUUCGCAAACAGCCACCAAAGUGCCAUAAAUUCAUUAAGUUGAAAGGCUGUGCCCUGUCAGUCAGACUUGGGGAGAAGGCGAUUCGAUUGCAGAUAUUUAAGGCCUAAAGUUUGCUCGCAAGAUAAUGCCGUUUCCUAUCAGCGCCUCUUAUCGGGAGGCGACACUCAGCAGUAAUUGCUGCCGCAUUGCUGAGUUUGCACUGUAAAUAAAUACAGAGGUGUUCACCUCAGUGCCCCGCUUUUGGGCAGCUCUUCCUCUCCGGAGCAGCUAUAAUCACAACGCACCUUCAGCACACCGACCUCGGGGGUUACUGCAUAAGGGAGCCUAGAAAUCGGUUUAUUUAAAUAGCUCACUGUCUUUUAAAUUGUUCUGUGUAAUUCUUUGGUUUCAUUUUGUUUUUCCCGUGAUAGCACCUGUGAAGAAAUUUUCGGCCCUAUUUCCGUCUCUGUGUUCGUUGAGUUGGGUCCGAAGAGCCCCCUCCUCCUCCUCCUCCCCCCCGCGCCGCCGCACCGUUGUGUUAACGCUGGAGCGAAGGAGAAAUGGAGCGGAGCGCUCCGGGCCAUUUCUGAUGGCAGACCCCCGCUCCCAGCGUCGAGCGCUGCACCCCGCUCCUGUUUUCGCCUUUUUCUCCUCCCAAAAUGGAGCUCCGGCGGCGAGCGGGGUCUGUCCCCGCGGUGCCUGCGUGGGAUCGGUGUUUCUCUCGAGACUGAACGCCAAAAUCAAUGUUAAGGCGCGGGGAGGGCAGAGCGGCGAUUGCAUGUAAUGGUUGCGCGGUAUUUUCGGUGCUCAGAGGCACCGAUUUCCCCGCACCCCCGGUUUUCUCGGCGGCGGCGGGGGGUGGGGGUGGGGAACGAACAGCGAGGAGAGAGGGGCUCGUUUCGUGCCGCUGCUCUGCCGGGGGAGAAUGGGGCCGUGAGGCGUUCCAACGAGUGCCGCCCGUACCUUCCACUGUCCCUGCGCGGGGGGCAGGGACACGUCCCGCCGGAUUCCCGGUUCUUUCUGGCGACCCCCCCGCUCCCGAAGGUCCUGUGGGGAGGCACGGCAGAGGGCACGCGCGGGGUUCGUUAUUUUGUAUUUCUUUUUUGUUAAUUAUUAUUAUUAUUUUUCUCCUCCCUCCGCACAGAACUAUAACGCGGAGAAUGGAAAUGGCGCUGCGCGGGUUCUGCGUGGGUCUCCCCGCAGAGCCGGGCCUCCCCCAUCACCACGGAGCCGCCAUCCGACCCUGCGCGCAGCGCGUAUCUCCCUGCGAAGCCCCUGCGAAGCAGAGGGACGGGGCUGCUCGCGCGCAGCUCCACGCUGUGUUUCAGCCUGAGCCGAAUCUCAAAAGCUAUUGCUUUGUGUGUUGUCCAAGGGAAGAAAAAAAAAUCUCGCCUUAAAACUGUUGUUUUUAAUUUGAGGGACCGCUCCGUUUGGCCGGCCGCGGUGGUUUCUUAUUUGUGUUUAAUUGUCUGUCACCGAAAUGGAGGGGAGUGUGAGGUCUGAAUUCCCCCCCCCCCCCGGCAAAAGAGGAAUAUUCUUCCCUCUGCCCGAGUUUCCUCCAUAGGAUUUCUUCUUAAAGUGAGUGACAGUUUGCAUUAUGUUCCGCAAAGGUCACAACCAAAAGCAGUGGGGAAGCGCACUGCAGAAAAGAUGUGGAUUUAAAGCCCUUCCCCACCUCCGCGGCCCCGGUCAAAGGGAGAACGCGGUGCGACUGUUUGUGUCGCGGCUGGAGGCCUUACAGGGAGUGUUACCAAACGUAUGUCUUACGAAAGCGGGGCCCUUGCGGAAAUCUCAUGGACAGAGCUCCGAGGUGAGCACGGCCGUAUUUUCAAAAUAGAGCGCAGCUCCGUGGCGCGAUGGGUGACCUCUGGGCUGCACUCCGGCAGCACGCUGCCCUCUGCGCCUGUCCCCACAAACCGGGGGGCUGAGGCGAGCGAGGUUGGAUUUGCGCUGCCGGGGGCUUUUGUUGCGCGCAGAGGGCAGCGGCGGCGACGGGCCGGGGCCCACGUGAAGAGGAACGCGAAGUAACGAUGCUCGAGGUUUCCCGUGUCGUCCUCACGGCGUGAGCAGGAGCGGAGCGCCGGACCCGCGCGUCGGUAGUAGAAGAGCGACCUGCGCGCCUCGUGGGGUGAAUGCUCCCGCAUCCUCGGUCGGAAAUCACCGAUUUCGGGAAUAACCGCUAAUUGAACGUUAGCUUUCAAUUAGUCUCAGUGCGAAGUCGUUUAAAUGUCGGCGCAGUCACUCCGUUCCCCCUCGCUUGCCCGACGGCUCGGUUAUUUUGAUAUGCGCGGUUUUUGGAAGGACUGCGAGGCGCGCAGCAGAGGGCAGGGGCAGCGGCGGUGCCGUCGGGGCGGCUGAGACCGAGUGGCCGCUGCGCGGGCGCGCAGGUGGCGUGCGGAGGAGCACAGAGGGGCAGCGCGCAGAGCAGGUUGCGCGAGUUUUAGUCCGCCGGACCUCGACCCGAGCCCCACGGGCCGGGAGGAUCCCGCUCGCCCUUCCCGUGUGAAUUUUGUUUCUUUUUUUACCCCCCUUUUAUUUCCCCCUCUCCCUUUCCUGCCCGACGGCGCGUCCUCCCCGAAGGUGGUGCGGUGCCGCGGUGCGCGGAGCCCUCCCGACUUCAUGACGGCGGCGCUCAUAAAGCCAUUCGCUUCUUUCCAAAGCCAUAAACAAACGUCGUGUUAGGUCAAGAUUGAUGGUGUCCAUGCAAUAAAACCGGGCCAGGUCAGGAAGGAAUAAAAUUCAAUCAGAGCGCGCGGAAUCAUUUUUCAGGGGACAGAAAGACAGAAAAGGAGACGGGGGUCAGGGGAGGCGAUGCCGCCGGUCCCAGCGCACCGCCGCCGGGGGGAGGGCGGGGGUUAACGAGCAAUUGUUUUUUAUCAAGCGCGGAACAAUGGCCGCAGCGGAGGGGGGAGCGGCUCUGGGUCGGGGCGGCCGCAGCUCCGCACCGGGCAAUGGCCCCGCGAGCGGCCCCCGGGGUGCGGGAGGCGUGCGGGGCAGGGACUCCCCUCGGCGCCAAAAGCCGCCCGUGUCUCGCUCGGCUUGUAACCUCGCUCGAUACGCGCGUGCGGCAAAAAUAAAAGAUAUUAGAAAGCGUGGGGAAGGGGAGGAAAAGGCGGUCCCGGCUGGCGGCCCGCGGGCUGCGUGGGAAUGGAGCGGUCGGCAGUUUUCUGCCCCCUCCGUCAGCGCAGCUCGGAGCGCUCUGGGUGGGCAGAGAGGAACGGUGCGUGGGGCCGCCCGGGAGCGCCCCUACCUGCGCCGGGGGUCGGGGCUGCGCGCAGCGGAGUGACACCGCCAACAACGGAGCGCCCAACUGGAAUCCCCCCUCCUCCUUUCGCCGCCGCCGCUGGGGAGAACGCAGGAAAACCGACACGUUUAGAGCCAUUAGCUCUGAAAAUAGCCGAAUUUCCUCCAAUAGGGAAAGAAAAAAAAAAAGAAAAA
rnacentral:lncRNA from 1 species